UACGUAGGGGGCUAGCGUUGUCUGGAAUCAUUGGGCGUAAAGAGCGUGUAGGCGGCCCGGUAAGUCCGCUGUGAAAGUCGGGGGCUCAACCCUCGAAUGCCGGUGGAUACUGUCGGGCUAGAGUGCGGAAGAGGCGAGUGGAAUUCCUGGUGUAGCGGUGAAAUGCGCAGAUAUCAGGAGGAACACCGAUUGCGAAGGCAGCUCGCUGGGACGUUACUGACGCUGAGACGCGAAAGCGUGGGGAGCAAACAGG
rnacentral:rRNA from 1 species